rnacentral:rRNA from 1 species
GACGACCGCUGGCGGCGUGCUUAACACAUGCAAGUCGAGCGGCGCGGCGAACGGGUGAGUAACGCUUGAGUAACUGCCCCCCUCUCUGGGAUCACAGUUGGUAACGGCUGCUAAUACCGAUUCGUGGGGGAUGACUCGGGUCCUAUCAGCUGGUUGGUGUGGUAGUGGCUUACCAAGGCGACGACGGGUAGCCGGCCUGGGAGGGCGACCGGCCACAUGGGGCUGAGAUACGGCCCAGACGCCUACGGGAGGCAGUAGUGGGGAAUAUUGCACAAUGGGGGAAACGCUGAUGCAGAAACGCCGGGUGCGGGAUGACGGCCUUCGGGUUGAAAACCGCUUUCAGCCAGGACGCGGUAGUGGAAGAAGAAGCACCGGCUAACUUCGUGCCAGCAGCCGAGGUAAUAC